CAGGAGGCCGGGCACCUUGUGAAGAGAAGACAGUGUCUCCGUCCUGGAAACCGUUGUUUCAAGGUUCUGAAGGAAGUCUUGGUCCCUGCCCCCCAAGACUGGGCAUUCCUACUCUCUGCUUGAUAGACACUGGAGUUAUCCAUGUGGGCCUGCUCCUGUCCUGCAGACAUGUUGGACCAGUUAAAGGUUAUUCUGUAGAAAACCUCAACCAACAAGUCAAAAGAUGAGUUUCCUGCUCUUAAUAGAUAAUUUUUAUUGGUUUUGCAAUAAACGUAUGAAA